GUGCAGCAGUCGAGAAAACUCCGCAAUACACGAAAGUGUGACGGGGCCAUCCCGAGUGCCGUCCGCUGAGGACGGCUUUUCCCCAGUGUACAUAGCUGGGGGAAUAAGGAGAGGGCAAGCCUGGUGUCAGCCGCCGCGGUAAUACCAGCUCUCCGAGUGGUGGGGACGCUUAUUGGGCUUAAAGCAUCCGUAGCCGGCUGGGCAAGUCCUCCGUUAAAUCCAACGAUUCAAUCGUUGGGCUGCGGGGAUACUGUCCAGCUUGGGGGCGGAGAGGCCGACGGUAUUCCCGGGGUAGGGUGAAAUCCUAUAAUCCCCGGGAGGACCACCAGUGGCGAAGGCUGUCGGCUAGAACGCGCCCGACGGUGAGGGAUGAAAGCGUGGGGGAGCGAACCGGAUUAGAUACCCCUGUAGU
rnacentral:rRNA from 1 species